UACGGAGGGGGUUAGCGUAGUUCGGAAUUACUGGGCGUAAAGCGUACGUAGGCGGCUAUGUAAGUCAGUUGUGAAAGCCCAAGGCUCAACCUUGGAACUGCAAUUGAAACUGCAUUGCUAGAAUUUGGUGGGGGAUAGUGGAAUUCCUAGUGUAGGGGUGAAAUCCGUAGAUAUUAGGAGGAACAUCAGUGGCGAAGGCGACUAUCUAUACCAAUAUUGACGCUAAGGUACGAAAGCGUGGGGAGCAAACAGG
rnacentral:rRNA from 1 species